GAUGAACGCUGGCGGCGUGCUUAACACAUGCAAGUCGAACGGAGUAGAUAAGUGGAAGCCUUCGGGUGGAAACUUAUUUACUUAGUGGCGGACGGGUGAGUAACGCGUGGGUAACCUGCCUUACACAGGGGGAUAACAGUCGGAAACGACUGCUAAUACCGCAUAAGCGCACAGUGCUGCAUGGCACAGUGUGAAAAGAUUUAUCGGUGUAAGAUGGACCCGCGUCUGAUUAGCUAGUUGGUAGGGUAACGGCCUACCAAGGCGACGAUCAGUAGCCGGCUUGAGAGAGUGAACGGCCACAUUGGGACUGAGACACGGCCCAAACUCCUACGGGAGGCAGCAGUGGGGAAUAUUGCACAAUGGGGGAAACCCUGAUGCAGCGACGCCGCGUGAGUGAAGAAGUAUUUCGGUAUGUAAAGCUCUAUCAGCAGGGACGAUAAUGACGGUACCUGACUAAGAAGCCCCGGCUAACUACGUGCCAGCCGCCGCCGUAAAAC
rnacentral:rRNA from 1 species